GAGCGGCAGCUGUCAGGCCACCGAGGUCCAAGCCGCACUUGCUGCCCCAUUGAGGACGAGGAGGCAGCAGGAGCAGUGACGGUGACUCUAAGGAGCCGGAUUCCCGGCACGCAGAGCUGACCUGCCUGGCACCCGCGGCCCUCUCCUGUUUCCUUCCCAUUGUGUUGGACAAUAAAACUGAUGCUGGACGUGCUGGCUCAAGCUUAUAAUCCCAGCACUUUGGGAGGCCAAGGCAGGCAGAUCACAAGAUGAGGAGAUCGAGACCAUCCUGGCCAACACGAUAAGCCAGCUGCAGAAUAUAUCCUGAGGUACCUGCUUUAUGGAAUUAUUCACACUAUUCACCAACAGGAAGAAUAAAGUCAAUCAAUUCAAGGAGUCUCAGAACAGGAGCACAUAGACACCAAACUUUGUGGGACAACAAAUAUAAUGAAGAGUAUGUUUGCGUCUUUCAAACAAAGCCACGUGAAGUCAAGGCCCUUAACACCCACCCCUCCCACAUACUGAGGGGAGAAUUCAGAUGCCCACUGGAGUCAGCCGAUCAGACUGCCUUUUGCACACUCCUUGCCUCCACUCCAGUUUACCGUGGAAGACCUGUCUGCUAUGGCUGAAUCUGAGAGAGAUCCUUGAGUAACGAAUUAAGGAAUGAACAAAUGUUGCUCUGGACAAAGCUGCAGCUUCCACGUCCUGCAUAACUGCACUCAGUACUGACCCUGAAGAUAGGAAAAGCAAUACAACUGGUGCUAGAAAUGUUAUGAGAAUGACUUGGAUGAGCUGAAAAAUGAAUGAUCUCCUUGAACAAGGCUUGCCUGGAAUUUCGCUUUGCUGCAGAGACAUCUGGAAAUGUGGAUUGAGGGUGGAAAUAAAAUGAAGAUGUCCUGGAAACUUCCAACUGAUCCUUGGGUCUAAUUGGUGUGGGAUAUGCAGCACAAGCGUGAGAAGCCAUGAAGUGAGAGCCCCAACAGGGGCUCAGAGUCAAAAACCUAGAUAUUAGCUCCCAAAGUCCUUCCGAAUCUGCUCCAGCUCCCCACAUCACUCCUAGCUGCCCUUGGCCCUCUCCACCUUUCCCCUCCCGAUUCCUUGGAAAAUAAGCGUUCCUCCCCCACCCCCACCCCCAGCUCUACGAACACAAUAGAGAAGAAAAAAUUGUCUUUUAAGAUAAUUUCCUCCAAAUCCUUCUCAGUUUCAACUGCAUGAAGACAAAAUGCAGGCUGUCAAUUCGAUGAACAGAUUGUGAUUAGGCUGGGGGAGGCUAGAAUUGUAAUAAUUUUAUAGCUACAAUAAUAAAGACCCAGAAGUGGGCAAGACCUAUGCAAGUUCACAGACUAGGUUAAAGAAAAGGCCAGCGUUGAAGAUGUGGGUGAUUUCCAAGAAGGAUAAUCGACUUCGAGACAAGUCAAGAACACGAUCUGGGAAUCAGGUAGUCAGUAUUCUAUCCUGAGAGUGUAAUAUCUUCAUCAGAGAGCUUAAGCCAGGCAGACAAGAGGCAGGGAGUGGGUUAGAGUGAAGCAGCAGGUGGCAGUGAGGGUGGAGAGAAGAAACGAAAUAUAGUCCUUGCCACAGAGAAAGAAGCGGUAAGACAAAAAUGGCUAAGCAGCAAAAACAGGGAAAUACUAUAUAAAACCUGCCUUAGCAAUAAGCUAUUUCUAAAGACUGUGAAGGUAUUUAAAUGCCCACUGCUAGAUGGGAUCAGCCUGGGAAGGUUUUCUAGAACAGGUGAAUCUUAAACAGUGUCUGUCUGGGCUCCUUGUCAGUCCUGUCUCCCUUCACAGCUCCCUUGACCUAGAGGCCGGUGUCCUCCCAUGGAUGGCCUUUAAAACAACUGGCUGGCAUAUAAUAAGAGGGGCACCUGUUGGAAGACUCCGGAGAAGGAAGGUAUGGUCUCCUGGAACUUUUCCUGUGAUUUUGCCUUGGGAGAGGAGAGAAGAGGAGGGAGAUACUGAGCAGAGACUAGUACCUUCCUGGGGUGGGAGAAAGGCAAGAUUGUGUCUUACAGUUUUCUCUUUGGGCUGUGACUUUGGACAUGUUACUGGCUUGGGCUCUGCUGUUAGGAAAUGGACGAGUCUUUGGCAGAUGCCCCUGUGGGCCCACUGGGGCCAAAUCCUGCACCGUUUGAGGCUUGCUUAGAGUACUAGAACUCUAGAUCCUUUGCUCUUGUAUCAGCCCCAAGAAAAAAGGAUCUCUGGAAAUGCUGCCCCUUGCAAAACGGUAUAAUAGUAGCUUUCCAGAGCAGACGAGACUAAGGCCAUGUGACUGAUGGAAAAGGGUCCUAGAGCCCCUCGCCCUCCCCAGCCCUGCUCGCCAGCCACAGACUAUGCCUGCUUUGGAAGCUCAACUGUAGGAUUGAGCCAGCAAUAAACUUCUGGAUGGUCACUGUCGGAAUGGCCCUGGAGAAGGGGGAGGACCAAGAGCAAGAAAUCGCCAAAUGUGUCUCCUCAGCUCAUCAGAUGGCAGGAGUGAGCCCAAACUUUGGGAGUUCAGAUUUAGAGGAUGAGGCAAAUGAUCCUUCACAGCUCGAAUAGAUGAGACAGCUCUCCACACAGGGGACAUCACUCAGACUGAGCCCUCUCACAAAGCUUCCCCUGAGUUCUCAGCAGCAGCUCUGGGGACAGCAACUCUACUGGAAAGAAAAUAUGUGUUCCCAAUAAACCCACAGAUACCAAUUUAUCAACCACAUUCCCUUAACACACAUUUCUCUUCUCCUUUCUUCCAUCUCCAUUGCCUUAAUAUUCAUUCUAUCCUCUCCCCAAGUCUCAAUCUCUUUGUCUCUGUUACCUGUCUCUGUCUCUGUUUCUCUCUAUGUGUCUGUCUCUGUUUCCUUUUUCUCUCUCCACAUUCCCUGUCUUCGCCUUGUUCUUAUGCUUGUUCUUAUGCCCAGGGCCAGAAAAGGGACCCAGCCAGGUGACCGUGUCUCACUCAUCCCAGUGCCUUAAGGUUCCCAACUCCCUAGAAUCUAGUGUGUUCUCAUUGCUCUGUACAUCCCGACACUCUGCCUCAGUACCUCGUCAGCAGACCUUUCCUGAGGGCUCCCUACAGACCUCAUAGGGUAUCUUCCCAGGUCCUCCAGAGCCCAUUUUUAUCUACAUACCCCCACCUAUUUCUGUGAUUCUGCUUCCAUUGGUUCUGCUGGGUGCCCUUGGCAAAAUAUUCUUGAGUCCAGCUAGGCUCCUGCACUGCCAAGGGAUUCCUCAAGAGGCACUGCCAGCCUUCUUGGUGCAGCCUGCUGCCUGUACUGGGUGCCUGUGGGAACAAUGCAGGAUUGUAUAAAACUCGUAAACAGUUUGCUUCAUGCAAUUCUGAUGGUACCUCAGAGAAUCUGGGCCCCCUUGAUCAUGGCUUGGUUUGACUGUGCAGCUUUCUUGCAAAUAACUCGAAAACACUUGAAUAUUACCUCCACUCUCUGCUCUAUGAUCCCAUAGUAUCAGAUUAUUGAAGGCCACAGAUCAAGUGGGUUCUCCUUGCUUCAUUGUGUAGACUGAACUCUAAAACUCAGAGAAGUCCAGUGAAUUUCUCCCAGGAAAAACUAGAUAAGGGAUCAAGUGCCCAAUCUAGUGGCCAACUUCUCCCUGAGCACAGAGAAGAACAUAAAGGGGAAGAGAGAAGCGCGUACCAGUGAAAGCCUGGGUCAUCUGCUAUUAUUUGGGCUUCUAGAGCUGAGGCUUUGCUUCUCAUUCCCAGGAUAAUGUCUUCCCAGACCAAAUUUUGGAAGGCAGCUUUCCUAGCCCUGGCAUAGAAGACUGGCUGGCUGGCAGGCAGGCAGUAUAUUAUGUCCUAUGUACUGUGGCUAGAACUUUCCACACCCAACUUCAUGCCGAUUGGCUAGACUAUGCCUUUCUGGCCAAGAGAACCGAGGGCUGAGGGCCAGAGAUGUCACAUACUUUGAGCUGGCAGACAGGGGUAGAGAGUGGAGGGUGAUCUUCUGCCUUUCCUGAAGGUUCAAGGAACAAUGGGAGGAUGGAUAGGGGCAGGCCAUGGGGUGUAUUUGUGAGGGGGAGAUGCCCGUGGCUUGGGAUGGAGUAAAGAGUAGCCUGGAAGCCAAAAUAAUCACAUGAAAAAUCUCAGCUAAAGAAUGCCUGAGGAGCACCACAUAGCUACUAGCAAUGUGAAGAAACAAGCUGUCCACAGAACCCACCUCCACCAACAUAAAAACUUGGCCAGCUUUUGCAGGGUUGCCCCUGCAGGGAGGAUGCUUGUUUGAUGUGAUUUCUGAGCAAAGUAGAAAUAAAACUAGUAUUAUUUCUGGGGAACCAA
rnacentral:lncRNA from 1 species